rnacentral:rRNA from 1 species
AGCGAACGCUGGUGGCAGGCUUAACACAUGCAAGUCGAACGGGCAUCUUCGGAUGUCAGUGGCAGACGGGUGAGUAACACGUGGGAACGUACCCUUCGGUUCGGAAUAACUCAGGGAAACUUGAGCUAAUACCGGAUACGCCCUUUUGGGGAAAGGUUUACUGCCGAAGGAUCGGCCCGCGUCUGAUUAGCUUGUUGGUGGGGUAACGGCCUACCAAGGCGACGAUCAGUAGCUGGUCUGAGAGGAUGAUCAGCCACACUGGGACUGAGACACGGCCCAGACUCCUACGGGAGGCAGCAGUGGGGAAUAUUGGACAAUGGGCGCAAGCCUGAUCCAGCCAUGCCGCGUGAGUGAUGAAGGCCUUAGGGUUGUAAAGCUCUUUUGUCCGGGACGAUAAUGACGGUACCGGAAGAAUAAGCCCCGGCUAACUUCGUG